rnacentral:misc_RNA from 1 species
CCGAGUGCGGGCCCUCGCGGCCCAACCUCCCACCCUUGUCUCUAUAUACACCUGUUGCUUUGGCGGGCCCACCGGGGCCACCUGGUCGCCGGGGGACGUCCGUCCCCGGGCCCGCGCCCGCCGAAGCGCUCCGUGAACCCUGAUGAAGAUGGGCUGUCUGAGUACUAUGAAAAUUGUCA